AGUGAACGCUGGCGGUAGGCCUAACACAUGCAAGUCGAACGGCAGCACAGUAAGAGCUUGCUCUUACGGGUGGCGAGUGGCGGACGGGUGAGGAAUACAUCGGAACCUACUUUUUCGUGGGGGAUAACGUAGGGAAACUUACGCUAAUACCGCAUACUACCUACGGGUGAAAGCAGGGGAUCUUCGGACCUUGUGCGAUUGAAUGAGCCUAUGUCGGAUUAGCUAGUUGGCGGGGUAAAGGCCCACCAAGGCGACGAUCCGUAGCUGGUCUGAGAGGAUGAUCAGCCGCACUGGAACUGAGACACGGUCCAGACUCCUACGGGAGGCAGCAGUGGGGAAUAUUGGACAAUGGGCGCAAGCCUGAUCCAGCCAUACCGCGUGGGUGAAGAAGGCCUUCGGGUUGUAAAGCCCUUUUGUUGGGAAAGAAAAGCAGCAGGUUAAUACCCCGCUGUUCUGACGGUACCCAAAGAAUAAGCACCGGCUAACUUCGUG
rnacentral:rRNA from 1 species